CCUACGGGGGGCUGCAGUGGGGAAUAUUGCACAAUGGGCGCAAGCCUGAUGCAGCCAUGCCGCGUGUGUGAAGAAGGCCUUCGGGUUGUAAAGCACUUUCAGCGGGGAGGAAGGCGUUAAGGUUAAUAACCUUGGCGAUUGACGUUACCCGCAGAAGAAGCACCGGCUAACUCCGUGCCAGCAGCCGCGGUAAUACGGAGGGUGCAAGCGUUAAUCGGAAUUACUGGGCGUAAAGCGCACGCAGGCGGUCUGUCAAGUCGGAUGUGAAAUCCCCGGGCUCAACCUGGGAACUGCAUUCGAAACUGGCAGGCUAGAGUCUUGUAGAGGGGGGUAGGAUUCCAGGUGUAGCGGUGAAAUGCGUAGAGAUCUGGAGGAAUACCGGUGGCGAAGGCGGCCCCCUGGACAAAGACUGACGCUCAGGUGCGAAAGCGUGGGGAGCAAACGGGAUUAGAUACCCGGGUAGUC
rnacentral:rRNA from 1 species